AUCUGAGUUUGUAAUUCCAAAAU
rnacentral:snRNA from 1 species